rnacentral:lncRNA from 1 species
CAAUAGAUAUAAUUCUAUUAUUGUUUAAUUUGACUAGCUUCAUUUUUAAGUUUCUAGUAUAUCAGUAGAGUUUAGUGUAAAUAUUUUUGUAAAUAAUUAUUCUUUGUUUGGUGCAGGUGUGAUGUGAUGGAUAAGUUUCUUCUAGUAUAUCAACAUGGUUGAAGUUUCCAGGUAUUUUUUUAUACUUUUUUUUUUUCUUCACUUUAUCUUCAAUAUUAGCUUUUAGCUGCUCUAUCUCUCUCUCCCUCUCUGUCUCACUCAUGAAUUUUUCUUUUUGUUUAAUGGUUCUCUCUUUCUAUUUGUUAAGAUGAUGAUCCAUUAUUAUUAGUUUGUCUUUCUUUUUUCUGUUUUGUUUUUUCCUUUAUUUUUUUGUUUUCUUUGUUGGUAAUCUAAAAAUCUUGUUUCUCAUUUGAAAGUAUCUUUUUGUAAAUAAUUAUUCUUUGUUUGAUGCAGGAUGGAUAAAUUUCUAGUAUAUCAGAGGAUAGAAGACAAUCUACUAGUGAUGAAUCUUAUGUCCUUUGUUUUUGGGAAUCAAUUGACAUUUAGGUUGAACUUAAAUAUCUAGCGUUUUAUUUUCGAG